rnacentral:rRNA from 1 species
UAUCUCGUACUUUCGAAUUCCCGCGAUUUUAUUCGUGUGGUUUUUGUUAUUUUAUUGUACGAGAUAUAUAUGCUGGUGGAUGUUUAGAAAUUGUAUGUUUUAGACGAACAUUUUUUGUUUGCCUCUAAUCGUACACUUUCGAUAUUCGAUACGAUGGGUUUAUUUAAAAAUUUUACUAAAAUAUGAAAAAUUAUAAACGGUCGUCAAUUGAGAACGUAUUGUUUUUUUCUUUAAAAAAAUGUACGUUUGCUUGAGAUUGUUCGAUAAGUUUUUCAUUUUUUCAUUUUUUUGGUGAAUGAUUAGAUUCAAUCGUAUUCCGGAUUGUGUUGAAAACGUUGCGGUCAGUGAUGCGGUUUUGUAAAAAAAAUUGUGUCAACGCGCACGUUUUUGGCCAUUUGGACCAGCGAAAUUACUUUGAACAAAUUAGAGUGCUUAAAGCAGGCAAAUUUUAUGCCUUGAAUAUAAACAGCAUGGAAUAAUAGAAUAUGAUCUCGAUACUGUUUGUUUAAUGUUUUUUUAUUCGUUUGUUUAAAGAAACAUUUUUCGUUUAUUUUUUAUGCUUAGGUGUAUUUGUAAGCGAAAUAAAAUUGGCUUAAAGUGACAUUAAUAGCAUUUUGGUUUAAAGCAGUAACUGUAAAGUUGAUUGAAUAGUUUUCUUUGUCGUCGAAGUAUUUAAAAAGUUAUCAUGUAGCUCUUGGAAAUUUAUUUCACGUUUGUUUGCUCUAACGAUGUACUCGUGUUUGAAUUUCAUUCAUUUGUGCGCAUCGUUAAAACAAAUGUUAAAAGAGAGUGUUAUCGUGCUUGUCACGUUAACUUAAGUACAUUAAGUGAUAAUUUGCUUUGUACGAUAAACGAAUUAAUCUAUUCGACAAAUAUCAAUCUUUGUUAGGUUGCUGUGACAAUUUGCACUUUGUUCCACGACAGUAU